rnacentral:rRNA from 1 species
AGUGAACGCUGGCGGUAGGCCUAACACAUGCAAGUCGAACGGCAGCACAGUAAGAGCUUGCUCUUACGGGUGGCGAGUGGCGGACGGGUGAGGCAUACAUCGGAAUCUACUUUUUCGUGGGGGAUAACGUAGGGAAACUUACGCUAAUACCGCAUACGACCUACGGGUGAAAGCAGGGGAUCUUCGGACCUUGCGCGAUUGAAUGAGCCGAUGUCGGAUUAGCUAGUUGGCGGGGUAAAGGCCCACCAAGGCGACGAUCCGUAGCUGGUCUGAGAGGAUGAUCAGCCACACUGGAACUGAGACACGGUCCAGACUCCUAAGGGAGGCAGGAGUGGGGAAUAUUGGACAAUGGGCGCAAGCCUGAUCCAGGCAUACCGCGUGGGUGAAGAAGGCCUUCGGGUUGUAAAGCCCUUUUGUUGGGAAAGAAAAGCAGCAGGUUAAUACCCCGCUGUUCUGACGGUAACCAAAGAAUAAGCACCGGCUAACUUCGUG